CAAGUCCUCCAACUCAUACGACCGUAUGGGUCGUUUGUCACUAUCCAUAAAUACGACCCACACGAGCGUUCUCUAAAUUAGCGCCCCUAUUGGCAACAGGAGGUAUGAUAAAUGAACUUUCGCCUAAAUGCAUUGUGGGUUUAUUUUAACAUGUUUGCUAUUUGCGUUUUGAAUUGUUUGAUUUAAACUCUCCCAGAUGUUCGUGGAUUUUGAUGAUAUGGAUUUUAGAUGACUUCGAGACAUGUACAGGUAAGGUUUUCUCCCGUCUCAUAAAGUAGUCGAUCGUUUAUGAAUAAUAUGAGUUUUUAUUUUCAAAUCGAUACUGGACACUGUAUGUCCUAUUAAACCAGUUUGACGUUCAAAUCAUUUAAUCGAAAUCUGCAGCUUUAUAAAGUUAGUUUUCAUUGUGAUAUUCGUUUGAAAUUCGCCUGUGGUGGAAAGAGGUCAUGUAAAAGUCGCGCAUUUACCAUGUUUUUACCAUAGUAACAUGUCGCUGAACCAUGUCACGUGUUAUAAAACCUCAGUAACCACAACUCAAUGUAUCUCCCGUCAUAACUGUAGUUUUACUUUGGUAUUUGUAGUAUAAACACGUUACCAUGCUUUUCACCACAGUAACUGUGCUUAUUGUGUACUCUUUAGUUAAGUAACACAUUUGCCAUGCCUUUAAUACCUUUUUGUAAUGUAAUUGUGAUUCAGUGUUUUUUUUCUUUUCAGUUUUGCAGUUUCUUCAUAUCACAUACAUCUCCAGCUCCUACAACAACAUUCAGUGUCCAGCAGCUCUUUAUGAUGCUCUCUCUCUCUCUCUCUCUUUCUCUCUCACUCUCUCUCUCUCUCUCUCUCUCUCAUUUUCCUUUCCUAUUUUUCUGAACUGUAAUUCAUAAAUAAGUCACACAUAUUUUUCUUUCUUUCUCUUGUUCAUCAUGGCAUAUUUUCACAGCUCAGAAUCAGAUUUUGAUCAGUUCUUGUAUUAACAGGGAACUUGUACUCGAAGCUCAACUUGAAGAAGUUUCCAGUGAAGAUGAAGUCCUUCAAAGGUUCGACACAGCUGAAAAGGAAGACCAUGGGCCUGUCAAACCUUGUUUGUGGAGAGGGAUGAAUUUGACCAUCUUGUGUGUUUACGGAGAAGACCAAAAGCUGCUAAGGCAGAUAUUUCCAGAGGUACAAACAGAGCGGAUGGUUGCAUGAUGGCCUCUUUCAGGUUUGUCAACUGAAUGUCUACUAGUGUGGCUCAGCAAGUUCCUGUCAUGAUCAGCCCUCUCCAAGAAAGCUGAAGAGCAAAAACACAAAGAACAUCAGUCCUGUUGGGGAUGAGGAAUGAACAUGGCUCUAUUGUGCCCAAACAGAAAAGAGUGAAAAGUCCUAGAAUGAACAAAUCAUCAGGGCAUCAUUUCUGGAAUUUGGGCAGAAAAUGACUGAAUAUGAAAGACUGCAGUAGAAGGAAAGCUGGUACUGAGAACAUUUGUCUUCACUCCAGACUAAAGAGAAGCGGGGUCUGAGGCCAGAGAUGGAGGAGUCAAUGGUCACCAAAUGCAGCGCUGCAGCCUGAAACUGUGAAGACUGAAUUCCCAAACAGCUGUGUGACUGCACAGAUGUUACGGCCAUAAAAGAAACUUCACAACUGAGAGCCCAUACCUCCAACAACCUUCAACAGGAAUCAAUGGACAUCUACGCAAGGUUUUUCUUUUGUUGAGGACCGUCAGAGACUCCAGCCACACGAGCCAUGGAUUGCUCUCAACAUCACCAUCAGACAGACAUUAUCACAGAACCAGCACCAGCAGACUGCAAAACAAGUUCCUUCAACAGGCAAUCAGACUGAACUGAACUCGUACCAGUAACACCACACACACACACACACACACACACACACACACAUACACACACCAGCAGCCUCAUACUGUGUGCACUGCACUCUAUCAGCUACACUGACUGGACUCUGACUCACUAUUAUUCUGCAACCUGAUAUUCUGUUUGCACUAAUUCAUACUGUACUGAAAGUGAAAGUGACGUGACAUACAGUCAAGUAUGGUGACCCAUACUCAGAAUUUGUGCUCUGCAUUUAACCCAUCCGAAGUGCACACACACAGAGCAGUGAACACACACACACUGUGAACACACACCCGGAGCAGUGGGCAGAGGUAUAUCUACAGUAUACAGUGAUUGUUGUUAAUUGUUUUCAUUUUGUUCUCUCUGUAUAGUAUAGUAUUGCACUAUAUUUUCUACCUGUAUUGAGCUCUUAUGUAUACGGUUUAUAUUUUUGAUACUGUAUAUGUGUUGCAAAUAUAUUCAGUACUUGUCAUGCUGCAGUUUGCAGAAAAGCAUUUUACCACCUGUAUACUUGCAUUCAUGGUAUUGUGAUAAUAAAAUGAUUUGAUUUGAA